rnacentral:rRNA from 1 species
UGAGGUGGAGCAAAACUCAAAAACUUAGUCUCAGUUCGGAUUGUAGGCUGAAACUCGCCUACAUGAAGCUGGAGUUGCUAGUAAUCGCGAAUCAGCAUGUCGCGGUGAAUACGUUCCCGGGGCCUUGUACACACCGCCCGUCACACCAUGAGAGUUGGCAAUACCCAACGUACGUGAUCUAACCCGCAAGGGAGGAAGCGUCCUAAGGUAGGGUCAGCGAUUGGGGUGAAGUCGUAACAAGGUACC